CAGACCAACUUGCAUUUGUCUUGGGGUUUCAGCUUGCCAACAGGAAUGCUGCUUUUCCUCAGAACACAAGCCUCCUCAGCCAGAAGAAGAAUAUGGAGGCUGAUGUUGCUCAGAUUUCAGAAAGAAGGAGAAGAGAUGAUACAGAUGUGUCAAAAGGCAGAAGAGAAGACCAGGAAGGCAGCCAUGGAGGUGGGCCUAUUACCUGUCUGCUCAGUCCUGUGAUCCAGAGUUCACUGGAGCAGGAGCCCAGAUACAGGAGCCCAUGUACAGUCAAAAAGAUUCCAUUGAUUCCCUGCCGCAUCAGGAGGAGGUUAGGUGACCCCUCUGCCUCCCUGUGCUCAAUUUGAACAGCUAGUCCAAUUACCUCCUCCCUUCCUACCUAUCCUGGCACUAAAAAGGAGCAGUUGAAUUAUCUUAAGCAGAAACUUGUGAUAGCAAGAGCCUUUUUAAAAAAAAUUUAGUCAUUUUCUGCUUGUGAAUCAAUAUAUCUAUUUCUAGAAACCAUUCUUCCUGUUGUUCCCUGCAAAUAACUAUUUUUUUCUGGGGCCUAUAAUCGUUUUAUGAUGAGGAUCUGAAAACAGUGCUUAAGUCACUGAUGUUUUUACACUACACACCCCUGCUUAGGUAGAAAAGUCAGACUUGCAAAGAGAGCUACAGGGCUGGUAUGCCCUCUUUAUAAUGCAAAUUUAAAUUUGUUGUUGGUGGUGCUUCUCCUAAAUGCCACUUAAUCUGCCAGCCUCAAUGUACCCUUAUGAGAACUGGAUAAAGGCCAUCUUCAGGGCACCCCCUCAGGGCUGAUGUAAAAUUCUCUCAAAGGACAUGGGAAGUGGAAGUACCACUGAGUAAAAGAUAUUAGAGGACGAAGGGUAGAGGGUCAAGAUUUUAUGUAAGAGGACCUAGCUCCUGGGUCUCAGAGCUUGCUAAGUGGUGCUUGGGCUUUAUUUUAGUUUCUACUCAUCCUUCAGUGUCAAGGGCUUUGUCUCAGCUCAUCAAAUGUGCAACAACAACAUGUAGUUACCCUGAUUCUGCUAUGUGAAUGGAGGUUAAUUCCUUACUUAAAACUGUGAGAACUGGACCUUCAAUUAGAUUUUAUAUUAGUCAUUUUUAAAUUGAAAAGAGAUUAAAAAAAAAAAAAAAAAGAGAUUAAAAAAAAUGUUAUUUACAAUGUGGAGAACUAAAUAAAACUUUGGUUGUAAAAUUCAGCCAUUAGGCCAUUGUGGAGCCCAGCCUUCUGGAAUGGAGAAGUUUACCUAUCACUCAUCCAUUUUUUAUGAAGGAAGGUAAUUCUGAUUUUAGGUAGAAAUGAAGUAUGAGAAGCCAGGCACAGUGGUGCAUGCCUGUAAUCCCAGUGGCUCAGGAGACUGAGAUAGGAGGAUCACGAGUUCAAAGCCAGCCUCAGCAAAAACGAGGUGCUAGGCAACUCAGUGAGACCUUGUCUCUAAAUAAAAUACAAAAUAGUUCUGGGGAUGUGGCUCAGUGGUUGAGUGCCCCUGAGUUCAAUCUCUGGUAAUCACCCCACCACCACCCCCCUAAAAAGAAAAAAAAAGAAAUGAAGCAUGUGAAAACUCAAAGAUGUUUGAUGUCAAGAGAAAAGAAUAUCUGUGAAAAUCCACAUACUUAAAAAGGAACAAAAAGUUUUUCUUCCUGCAGUCACACCUUAUGAAGAUACUGUCUGAUUAAUCUUUCCUUUAUAGGACUUUCCUGAUAAUGCUGAAAAGUGAGCCCACUACCUCUUCUCCCUCUUCACCCUCCAGUUCUCCAACAGUGUAGCUGUGAGCCCCAACCCUACAUAGCAGAGCCCAGCGUUGCCUCUAUAACUCUCAUUCAUUGCCCUCACCCUCUGCAGAGAUGUCUCAUACUUAAAUUCUACAGAUGGUUGGUAAUCAGAUGGAGAAACUUUGGCUAGCAGAGUUGUAUUCUUAUAUUAAAUGCACUAAGAGAUUCAUGACACAAUUCUUAAUAAUCAUACUGGGACCCCAAGCCCUUGUAUACACAUCCACAGCCAAGAGUAAGAUUCACAAUUAACCUUCCUUGUGCCAGAGUACUGGUGCUGAGAGCAUCUGUUACUGCCAAAUUCCUGCAGCUUAAACUUGUUUCCGAUAGUGAAUCACAAAAUUAGAGAAGUGAGAUUGAAAAAUAGUUUGUGUUCUUUGUGACAUCAGCUACUUUAUUCAAUAAUAAUUGAUUUAAAUCAAUUGCCUCAAUUGAUCUUUUUUUUUUUCCAGCACAGAUGUUGUGUCCUAAUGUGAUGUGGUACUUCAUCUUUGAUCUGGUUCCACCACUGCUCAUCCCAAUCUCUCCCAUCACUACUUCUAUCUGUUGCCUCACCAUUCACAAACUCAAGGUCAGUAGAGAUUGGAGAGCAUGGUGGAAAGAGAUCAUGUACAUAGUCAAGGCAUUGCAUCCAGUUAGACUAAAACUGAAGAUUGUUGGCAGAAAUGUGAAGAUCAAUUAUCUACUGGUGUAGCUCAGUCCUUUUUUUCCUGGGUAAUUCAAGGCCUAAUUGUCCUGGAAUAUUGUAUUGUAUUGAUGUCCCCACCCUCGUCACUUUUUGUUUUAGCAUUUGCAGAUCUUUUAAAGUAUCUUAUCUCAACCUUUCCUCUUGGUGCUAGGCGAGAAUUCAUCUUCUCCCACUCACCACAGCAGCUCUAGUCUCUCCACAGGAGGGUUGUCCACUGUAUCCAAACACACCUUAGCAGUUUUACUUCUGUGUCUUUGCUCCUGUUGUUUUCUCUGUGGAAAGUGCCCAUUUCCUAACACCUAGGAAUCCACGAUCCAGAAAGUCUCAGUGCAGAUAUAGGAAUGACUGACAGAAAUGAGGUAGUAUCUGCCUUCAGGGAGCUUAGAGAAACAUAGAAUAAAGUAUCUUAAAAAUAGAACCUGUGAAAUUGUUGAAUUAAUUUUAAUGUCUACAGGUCAUAUGACAAAUGCUAUAGAGAUGGAAAGAAUAUUCAACUGAAAUUUGAUAGUUCAAAUUCCAUUGUACAUCCAUACAAUAGAAUACUAAUGCAUAUUUAUAGGCCAUUCAUACAAUUGUGUUGAUUAAAAGGGAAUGAAAAAGAGCUAUAAAAUCUGUCCUGGAGAUCACACUUAACAGUAUAAUCAUGACCAAAGGUGAAGGUGAUGUGGAGAGUUAAAACCCUCUUAUGCAAGGAGGGGGAGAAUAUGAACACACACACAUACUUAUAUUUUGAAGAAAUGGUGACAGAAUAAAUUAAAAAUCCAAUGAAAAUGGCUACUUAUAGGAAGAGAACAGAGAAAAGAAAGCUAUAUAUUCUGAAUUUAACUUAUUUGGUUGUUUUAAUGGCAUAAUAAUUUAAAUCAUUUACAUACUUCAUAAUUAAAACACGUUUGUGAAGCAAAAAAAGGCCCAGAAGUCCCCAAAAUUUAAACACUAUGGAAGCAAAUGAAGAUAACUCUUUAUCAAGCAGACCACAUAAAACAUGCACAAAAAGAGUUAUUCUCAGUGGCUUUUUCUUUUCUUUUCUUUUUUUGUACCAAGGUUUGAAUCAGGUAUACUUGACCACUGACCCACAUCCCCAGCCCCAUUUUGGAUUUUAUUUAGAGACAGGGUCUCACUGAGUUGCUUAGUGCUUUGCUUUUGCUGAGGCUGGCUUUGAACUCGCAAUUCUCUUGUCUCAGACUUCCAGUGGCUUUUAAACAUAGGUUUUAUAUAUCAUUCAUAUUAUGUAAGGGUAAAAGAGCAAAUUGAAUUUACAUUUCACAAUAAUAUAUUGCUACUAGCAAUAAUACAAAUAGAAUUGUUUAUUCAAUUACAUAGGAACCCAGAUUUUUAGUAUAAGAAAAAAGCUCAUAGGCAUAAAACCAAAGAACUUAUACAAAUUUCCCUAAAAUCUACAUGAAUAAUAGUGGAAUUAUCUCCAAUUUAAGAUUGCAAGAUUUUAUUUCCGUUUGGUAUUUGUUCAAUGUUGUGACCCAGAAUCAGUUAUAACUGAGCAGCAGUGAUUUCCUAAAUAAUCAGAUGAUAUAAGGAAUUCUGGUUAAUUUUCUUAAAUAUAUAUUAAAUAUAUGUACAUAUGUUCCUUGUGCAUUAUAUGACUUCAGUUACUUAUAUUCAAAAACUGAUAGUGUCCUGUUCUUUUACUCAAUUAAAAUCCAUUGCCUCAAUUGAGCACAUAUUUUAUAUAAUUGUAUAUAGAUAUAUGAUAUCAAAAUAUCAUUGUUUGAAUUAAUUUUUCACCACUACAACAAAAUACCUAAGACUAGGUAAUUCAUAUAGAAAUUUCUUUGGCACAUGAUUCUGAAGGCUGAGAAACCCAAGAGCAUGGUGCAGGCACGUGUGUAGGCCUUCUUGCUGCAUCAUAAUGUAGCAAAGGACAUCGCGUGGUGAGACAGAUUGAGCGUGCUAACACAAGUUUCUUUCUCUUCUUACAUGAAUGCUGUAUUUGGGGCUUCACCUUCAUGACUUCAUUUAACUUUAAUAACCUCCCUCUCAAAGUCCUGACAUCCAAAUACCAUUAGUAUAUGAAUUUGGGAAUUAAGUUCACAGUGCAUGAACUUUUUGGGGAGUCUUUCAAACCAAAGCAACUAUCAUUACCUGUUAGAAAUACAUAAGUAUUUAUUGGUGAAAUUAUAUAAUGUCUAGGAUUUGCUUUAAUAAAGCAGUUUUUCACCCAGAGGUAUCUUAAUAACUUUUUUUCAAAGUCCUUAAAAAAGUACAGAGGAGGUUCUCUGUUAUCUCUUCUGCCAAUAGACAGAACUAUGUAAAGUUCCUAGAGAACCAGAAAGCAGGAAUGGAAAUGGAAAGGUGUCUGUGAUUUUGUAACAACAGGCUUUUUCACCAGGGAACCAUCACAGCUGUUGACCUUCUCUCCUUCCCUUUCUUAAUGCACCUAGCUUAGGAGGAACAAGGGGGUCAGUGUGGUUCCAGUGGCAGGAAGGAGGCAAGGAUAGGGAGAGCUGGGAUCCAUCUCACCAGAGCCAUUCAGGGCAUUCAGCUUUGCAGUUUUAAGAUGGUGAUCAGGAGGCCUCUUGCAGAAAGUAGCAUUUAAGUCAGGGAAACCACAGAGAAAGAGGCAUGGUCGACUGGGAGAAGAGCCCCUCAGCAGAAGCAGCAGCCCAUGCUCUUUCCCCACCAACUCUCUAACCUCUAUGCUUCCUUACUUUUCUUCAUAGCACUUGACACCAUCGCACAUAUACUGUAUUUUACUUAGGUUUUUCUGAACCUCCUCAUAAGACUGAAUGCUGAAACAGGAAUGAUUUCCUUUUUGUUCACUUCUUUAUCCCUGGCACCAGGGUGUGGUGUGUGGUAGGCAUCUUGUGGGGUGUGGGGUGUGGUAGGCACCUUGCUGAAUGUGUGUUAUGCUAAUCUUGUAUACUAUAGCUCUCCCACAAAGCAGGGCUGUAGGGCUGUGUGUGACAUAUGUGUGAUGGAGACUUAGGGUCUGCACUGAAUAGAAAAAGCAGCUUAAGGCCAGGGAGUUUAUUGGCUGAAUCCUCAAAGCCUGCUAUAUACAACUCACUUCCUGUACUUACAUUCAUGCACGCAUACACGUGUGGAUAUGAGUGUGAUUUUGUGAUGUAAGAAGGGAGGCUUCUCCCCUCUGUGUGGAUUAGCCUUUCAUGUCCUUUAGAAUCUUAACAGUCCUUUGUGAGUGCACAGUUCAACCAGCUCACAUUUGGCAGGGGAGUUUUCUCAGAGAGGUUGCCCUGUUUAAUCCCUACCAGAAAAAGAGCAGACACAUCAUUCCUCGACUAUUUCAACUGAUCCUCCUGUUGGCAGACACUGUACCAGCCUUGCUGCCAGCAUGUGAUCUGAGGUCAUGGUUUGGUUACAGGUUCAUGAACUGGAAGGUGAACUGGAGGGCCAGCUCCAUCACAAUGAGGAGACCUACAGGGAAGCUCACAGACUGGAGCAGUGCAUCAGAGAGCUGACCUAUCAGGUAGUGCAGAGAACCAUUCCCUGUGUAUAUAGUUGGGCUGGACCUUGCAGAAGUGUGCUCCUUCCAGGCUGAAAAAUCCUCCUGGGACCCCUGCAGUUUUCUCUGAAUCUUUGAUCUCCCUCAGCAGCACUGACUCACCUCCCAGGGCUCUGUUCCUAUCUGUUCUUAUGAUUUUAGGUCGAUGCUUCUACAGAGCUUGCAGGGAUGGGAGC
rnacentral:lncRNA from 1 species